AACGAACGCUGGCGGCAUGCCUAACACAUGCCAGUCGAACGAGACCUUCGGGUCUAGUGGCGCACGGGUGCGUAACGCGUGGGAACCUGCCCUUAGGUUCGGAAUAACUCCCCGAAAGGGGUGCUAAUACCGGAUAAUGUCUUCGGACCAAAGAUUUAUCGCCUUUGGAUGGGCCCGCGUUGGAUUAGCUAGUUGGUAGGGUAAAAGCCUACCAAGGCGACGAUCCAUAGCUGGUCUGAGAGGAUGAUCAGCCACACUGGGACUGAGACACGGCCCAGACUCCUACGGGAGGCAGCAGUGGGAAUAUUGGACAAUGGGCGAAAGCCUGAUCCAGCAAUGCCGCGUGAGUGAUGAAGGCCUUAGGGUUGUAAAGCUCUUUUACCCGGGAUGAUAAUGACAGUACUGGGAGAAUAAGCUCCGGCUAACUCCGUG
rnacentral:rRNA from 1 species